UACAGAGGUCCCAAGCGUUGUUCGGAUUUACUGGGCGUAAAGGGUGCGUAGGCGGUUGGGUGAGCCUGAUGUGAAAUCUCCAGGCUCAACUUGGAAAUGGCAUCGGAAACUAGCCAGCUAGAGGGUUGGAGGGGGGACUGGAAUUCUCGGUGUAGCAGUGAAAUGCGUAGAUUUCGAGAGGAACACCAGUGGCGAAGGCGAGUCCCUGGACAACUCCUGACGCUGAGGCACGAAAGCUAGGGGAGGAAACAGG
rnacentral:rRNA from 1 species